ensembl:lncRNA
AUGCAUUCUCAAUCAUCCAGGAAAGUAAAUCUCCAAAAGUUGAAUCAAGACGUUUUAACCCACUUUGGCAAGGACUGCCUAAAGCUUGUACGUCAGUAUGAGCAAACAGCACGUAAGAUGACGGACUACAGGAACCACCUGAGAUUCAGCCUCAGAUGCCGACAAAACAGGAUUACUCCUAAAAGUCUGCAAAUGAGCUCUUCAGUUAAAGGCUUCCGGGCAACAAAAAUCCUCCAGAAGGCACAGCAUCAGUUGCUUAAUGAACGGGUGAGGCAGACAAAUUUUACCAUCGACAUGCUAAAAUCUCAAGAGGAGCGGAUCCGACGGAGACUGACUAUGCUUUUAGAUGAGAAUACUCUUAAAAAGGUGUUUGACUUCACUGAGAAGGCUCGUCUAGUACAGCACAAGAAGUCUAAGACCAGGCAACAAAGGAAGUUUGACUUACUUUUUGUACGUCGGAAACCACCACAAAAUACGGAGAGUGUCCUCAGUGGCCAGAAGAGACAAGGAUGCGACAUGGAGGAUGUGGACAAGUGGGUGAAGAAUUUGUCUGACAGACAGCUCACCCAAACAGAGAAAAACAUCCUUGCUAAAGGGUUGAAUUUUGCCGUCACACCGAGACAAAUCCCUCUAGUGGAGCUGAUCACAGCCACAGAAACAGCAAUUCGUAACAACAAUAUUGCAGAAGUGGAAGCAGAGCAACUACGGACGAAAGUUUCGGCCUGUCUCAGCAACGCAAAGCCCCCAGCAUCCAACAUCACCAUGGAGGAGAGGAAGGCACUCACAUCACUUAGUGAUGACAACAACAUUAUCAUCCUUCCGGCAGACAAGGGUAGGCGCACAGUAUUGCUUAACCAGAAAGACUAUCAUGAGAAGAUUUUGUCACUACUCAGUGAUGAAAAUACUUAUGAGCCCUUGAAACAAAACCCAGGAAGUGGCUACAGGAAGAGGGUCAUAGACUGUCUGAAGCAGUUAGAACAAGACAAGGCUAUCGACCGGACCUCAUACCACAGGCUGUACCCAGGGGAGUCUACACCAAGUCUGUAUGGUUUACCGAAAAUACAUAAGCAGGGUGCACCUUUAAGACCAAUUGUCUGCAUGAUCAACUCGGUCACCUAUAACAUCUCCAAGUUUCUGGCUUCGAUCCUCAACCCGCUGGUGGGCAGCUCUGAACACCACAUCCAGAACACCCUGGAUUUUGUUGAGAAGGUGAGAGAUGUCAUUAUGGAGGCAGAUGAAACCAUGGUCUCGUACGACGUUACAUCUCUCUUCACUUGCAUCCCAGUCACGGAAGCGUUGGAGGUAGUCCGUAAGAGAUUACAGGAUGACACCAACCUCAGCAACAGGACCACUCUCAGCAUCGACCAAGUGUGUUUGCUUUUGAAACUGUGUCUUCAUUCCACCUACUUCACAUACAAGGGUCAGUUCUACAGGCAGAAACAUGGGUGUGCCAUGGGCUCCCCAGUUUCACCCAUCGUGGCCAAUUUGUACAUGGAAGAAGUGGAAAAGAGGGCGUUGCUAUCCUACCCUGGAACACCACCAAGCCAUUGGUUCAGAUAUGUGGAUGACACCUGGGUGAAAAUCAAAUCUCAGGACGUACUACAUUUCACGGAUCACAUUAACUCGGUGGACCGACACAUCAAAUUCACCAGGGAGGAUAUGAAAAGUGGCAGGUUGGCCUUCUUAGACUGUGAGAUUUCCAUCAGUAAUGGGGGACAUCUAAAAGCUGACGUGUACCGUAAACCUACACAUACGGAUCAGUAUCUAAGGUUUGACUCUCAUCAUCCACUGGAGCACAAACUGGGUGUCAUCAGGACGCUACAACACAGAGCGAACACCAUCCCCACUGACACAGCGGCCAGGGAGGCAGAAGAACAGCACAUCAAGAAGGCCCUGAGUAAAUGUGGUUAUCCCAGCUGCACUUUUGUCAAAGCUGGAAAGGCACCUAAAGAAAGCUCCAGCCGAUCCAGGAGAGAAGGACAACCGCUGCCCAGGCGAAAACCUGUAGUGAUCCCAUAUGUGUCAGGAGUAUCGGAACAGUUGAGACGCAUUUUUUCUAAACACCGGGUCUCUGUGGCUUUUAAACCCCAAAAUACGCUGCGCCAAAAACUGGUCCACCCCAAGGAUCGGGUCCCCCGACACAAACAGAGUAACAUAGUGUACGCUGUUAAGUGCAGGAGGAUUGCCAGGAUUUAUACAUCGGGGAAACCAAACAACCUCUAG